rnacentral:rRNA from 1 species
AUAGCGUAUAUUAAAGUUGUUGCGGUUAAAAAGCUCGUAGUUGAAUCUGUGUCCCACGCUGUCGGUUCAUCGCUCGCGGUGUUUAACUGGCAUGACUGUGGGACGUCCUACCGGUGGGCUUAGCUCCUCACGGGGGGCGGCCCAACUAAUAUCCCAUCGCGGUGCUCUUUACCGAGUGUCGAGGUGGGCCGGUACGUUUACUUUGAACAAAUUAGAGUGCUUAAAGCAGGCUACCUUCGCCUGAAUACUGCGUGCAUGGAAUAAUGGAAUAGGACCUCGGUUCUAUUUUGUUGGUUUUCGGAACCCCGAGGUAAUGAUUAAUAGGGACAGAUGGGGGCAUUCGUAUUGCGACGUUAGAGGUGAAAUUCUUGGAUCGUCGCAAGACGGACAGAAGCGAAAGCAUUUGCCAAAAAUGUUUUCAUUAAUCAAGAACGAAAGUUAGAGGUUCGAAGGCGAUCAGAUACCGCCCUAGUUCUAACCAUAAACGAUGCCAGCUAGCGAUCCGCCGAAGUUCCUCCGAUGACUCGGCGGGCAGCUUCCGGGAAACCAAAGCUUUUGGGUUCCGGGGGAAGUAUGGUUGCAAAGCUGAAACUUAAAGGAAUUGACGGAAGGGCACCACCAGGAGUGGAGCCUGCGGCUUAAUUUGACUCAACACGGGAAACCUCACCAGGCCCGGACACCGGAAGGAUUGACAGAUUGAUAGCUCUUUCUUGAUUCGGUGGGUGGUGGUGCAUGGCCGUUCUUAGUUGGUGGAGCGAUUUGUCUGGUUAAUUCCGAUAACGAACGAGACUCUAGCCUGCUAAAUAGGCGUACUUUAUGGUAUCUCGAAGGCCCUCGGCUUCGGUCGGGCGGUUUUUACUACCGACGUACAAACAAAUCUUCUUAGAGGGAC